AUUGAACGCUGGCGGCAGGCCUAACACAUGCAAGUCGAGCGGGGUUUUCGGACCUAGCGGCGGACGGGUGAGUAAUGCGUAGGAAGCUGCCCGAUAGAGGGGGAUACCAGUUGGAAACGACUGUUAAUACCGCAUAAUGUCUACGGACCAAAGUGUGGGACCUUCGGGCCACAUGCUAUCGGGUGCGCCUACGUGGGAUUAGCUAGUUGGUGAGGUAAUGGCUCACCAAGGCGACGAUCUCUAGCUGGUUUGAGAGGAUGAUCAGCCACACUGGAACUGAGACACGGUCCAGACUCCUACGGGAGGCAGCAGUGGGGAAUAUUGGACAAUGGGCGCAGGCCUGAUCCAGCCAUGCCGCGUGUGUGAAGAAGGCCUUCGGGUUGUAAAGCACUUUCAGCGAGGAGGAAGGGUUGGUAGUUAAUAGCUGCCAAUUUUGACGUUACUCGCAGAAGAAGCACCGGCUAACUCUGUGCCAGCCGCCGCAGUAACAC
rnacentral:rRNA from 1 species